AUGGUACCAGCCUGCAGAUGUCUCAUUGAUGACAGCGACAUCUCCCCAACCCCAACCCAAACCUCUCUGUUUUCUCUUCCAGCUUCGAUGUGGAAAAUGGCCCGUCCCCCGGCCGGAGCCCCCUGGACCCCCAGGCCGGCUCUUCCUCGGGGCUUGUGCUGCACACCACCUUCCCGGGGCACAGCCAGCGUCGGGAGUCCUUCCUCUACCGGUCAGACAGCGACUAUGAUCUCUCACCAAAGGCUAUGUCUAGAAAUUCUUCCCUUCCAAGCGAACAACAUGGUGACGACCUGAUCGUAACACCUUUUGCACAGGUCCUCGCCAGCUUGCGAAGUGUGAGGAAUAACUUCACCCUCCUGACCAAUCUGCAUGGAGCAGCCAACAAGUGAGUCUCAUCGAUUUUGGGGAUUUAGACAGGGUCUUCCAUGAAAAAAAAAUAAGCCUUGGAGGCAAAGGACAUGGGUGUGAAUCCUGACUGGGUCCUUCAUGGCUCCUCCAUCCUAGGGUCCUUCACCUGUCUGGGUCUCAGCUUCCUCAUCUUUAAAGUGGAUUAAAUGCAUUUAAGGUCACUUCUUAA
rnacentral:lncRNA from 1 species